GACGAACGCUGGCGGCGUGCUUAACACAUGCAAGUCGAACGGUAAGGCCCUUCGGGGUACACGAGUGGCGAACGGGUGAGUAACACGUGGGUGAUCUGCCCUGCACUUCGGGAUAAGCCUGGGAAACUGGGUCUAAUACCGGAGAGGACCACUGCCUGCAUGGGUGGCGGUGGAAAACUUUGGCGGUGUGGGAUGGGCCCGCGGCCUAUCAGCUUGUUGGUGGGGUGAUGGCCUACCAAGGCGACGACGGGUAGCCGGCCAGAGAGGGUGACCGGCCACACUGGGACUGAGAUACGGCCCAGACUCCUACGGGAGGCAGCAGUGGGGAAUAUUGCACAAUGGGCGCAAGCCUGAUGCAGCGACGCCGCGUGAGGGAUGACGGCCUUCGGGUUGUAAACCUCUUUCAGCACCGACGAAGCGCAAGUGACGGUAGGUGCAGAAGAAGGACCGGCCAACUACGUGCCAGCAGCCGCCGCCG
rnacentral:rRNA from 1 species